CAUAGUUGAUUGAUAAACGUACAAAACGGCACUCAACAUGCCUUCUCCUUGUGAACCCUGCAAAGAAUCCUGCAAAGACGGCUCGUGCAAAGAUAAUUGCGCUUGCAAGGAAAACAGCUGUAACGAUAGCUCAUCAAAAGGAGGCUGCUGUUAAGAUCUUUCACAAUGGACAGGCCUAACACGAGACGCCCGUCUCUCAAUACCCGAGUGUCACGCAUCCUUGAGAUCUGCUUCCCAAUAUCCUUCUCUCUGGUUUUUGUCAUCACUAUUGUUCUAUUUUAUUGUAUUAUAUAAAUGUUCUGAUG